rnacentral:rRNA from 1 species
AUGGAUGCAGCAAGUUACUCAUAUACUGAACAUGGUUCUCAAGUUGCAAUGGAUGAGUUAAAGAGAGAGUGUGAAGCAACUUGGGUGUGGCUUAGAAAAAUACCCAAACACACUUGGGCCAGACAUGCCAUGGAUUUGAACUGCAAGACAGACUUAGUUGUUAACAAUCUAAGUGAGGUUUUCAAUAGGUGGGUCCUAGAUGUGAGGGCUAAGCCAAUAAGGACCAUGGUUGAUGGAAUUAGGACAAAGUUGAUGGUCAAGUUCAAUGCAAAUAGAAUAAAAACUGAUAUUGUCAAAUGGGAGAUUUGUCCUACAUAUGCAGAGAAACUGGAAGAAGCAAAGAAGUGGUCUAGGAACUGCCAAUCUUUGAUGGUUGGACCACAUCUUUACCAAGUGACAAGUGGAGAGAAAACAUAUGCUGUUAACCUGCAGGAAAACACUUGUGGGUGUAGGAAGUGGGAUAUGACAGCAGUGCCUUGCCAUCAUGCUAUCUCUGCCAUACACAAAGCUAAGCUACAGCCAAAGGACUUUGUUCAUGAUUUUUUCAAAAAACCAAUGUACAAGGCUGCUUACAGUCCCAUAAUCUAUCCAGUACCUGGCCCUGACAUGUGGCCAAGGACAGACAGUAGGGACAUUGAGCCUCCAGCCUUCAAAUAA